AUGCAGCAGCAGCCGGCCUUCCUCGCCAUCGGGGGGCGCGACGAGUAUGAGUACGCGAGGCUGGAAACGCUCUUGAUGCAGGGAGGGUCCGCCUCGGUGGGAGCACCUCGCUUCAAUGGCACAGACUACGAAUCAUGGCGGUUCAGAAUGAAGCUCCACUUGGGGAACUUUCACUCUCGUGUGCGGAGCAUUGUGGAAACCGGUCUCUCCUCUUGUGUGGAUGAAGCGAACCCGACGGCCCCCGAGCUGAGGAACAUCCACUACAACGCCCAGGCCAUGAACGCCAUAUACUGCGCCCUCAGUGAUGAUCAGCUCUACCGGAUCUGGCACCUUGAUACUGUUAAAUUAUGA
rnacentral:rRNA from 1 species